AGGGCACACGGUGGAUGCCUUGGCAUUAAGAGCCGAUGAAGGACGUGUGAAUCUGCGAUAAGCCUCGGGGAGCCGAUAACUGGGCGUUGAUUCGAGGAUUUCCGAAUGGGGAAACCUGGCUCAUCUUCAUGGUGAGUUACCGCCAGCUGAAUGUAUAGGCUGGUUGGGGGGAACGCGGGGAAGUGAAACAUCUCAGUACCCGCAGGAAGAGAAAAUAAAGUAAUGAUUCUGUGAGUAGUGGCGAGCGAAAGCGGAAGAGACUAAACCUGUGGUGUGUGAUAGCGGUUAGGCGUUGCAUCAUGGGGGUUGUGGGAGUCACAGUGGUAGUUCUAACUGGCUGCCGGCAUGAUGUUCAGGAUGGUAGGUGAACGACUUGGAAUGGUCGGCCGUAGAGGGUGAGAGUCCCGUAAUCGAAAUUGUUCUGUCCGUGGUGUGGCCACCCGAGUAGCACGGGGCUCGUGGAAUCUCGUGUGAAUCUGCCAGGACCACCUGGUAAGUCUAAAUACUUCUUAAUGACCGAUAGUGGAUCAGUACCGUGAGGGAAUGGUGAAAAGUACCCCGGGAGGGGAGUGAAAUAGUACCUGAAACCGUGUGCUUACAAGCCGUUGGAGCCUUUUGGGGUGACAGCGUGCCUUUUGAAGAAUGAGCCUGCGAGUUAGUGUUAUGUCGCGAGGUUAACCCGUGUGGGGUAUCCGUAGCGAAAGCGAGUCUGAAUAGGGCGUUUGAGUGGCAUGACCUAGACCCGAAGCGGAGUGAUCUAUCCAUGGCCAGGUUGAAGCGACGGUAAGACGUCGUGGAGGACCGAACCCACUUCAGUUGAAAAUGGAGGGGAUGAGCUGUGGAUAGGGGUGAAAGGCCAAUCAAACUCUGUGAUAGCUGGUUCUCCCCGAAAUGCAUUUAGGUGCAGCGUUACGUGUUUCUUGCCGGAGGUAGAGCUACUGGAUGGCCGAUGGGCCUUCACGGGUUACUGACGUCAGCUAAACUCCGAAUGCCGGUAAGUGAGAGCGUAGCAGUGAGACAGUGGGGGAUAAGCUUCAUUGUCGAGAGGGAAACAGCCCAGACCACCAACUAAGGCCCCUAAGCGUGUGCUAAGUGGGAAAGGAUGUGGAGUUGCUUAGACAACCAGGAGGUUGGCUUAGAAGCAGCCAUCCUUGAAAGAGUGCGUAACAGCUCACUGGUCAAGUGAUUCUGCGCCGAUAAUGUAGCGGGGCUCAAGUACACCGCCGAAGUUGUGGCAAUGACCCUUUUUGGGUUGUUGGGUAGGGGAGCGUCGUGUGGCCGUUGAAGCUGCGGUGUAAACCAGUGGUGGAGGCUAUGCGAGUGAGAAUGCAGGCAUGAGUAGCGAAAGAUGAGUGAGAAACUCAUCCGCCGGAUGAUCAAGGGUUCCAGGGUCAAGUUAAUCUGCCCUGGGUUAGUCGGGGCCUAAGGCGAGGCCGACAGGCGUAGUCGAUGGAUAACGGGUUGAUAUUCCCGUACCGGUGAAAAACCGCCCAUACUGAUAUUGUGAUGCUAACCAUGCGAAGCAUGAUGUGCAGGCUUUUGUUUGUGUGUUGUGUGGGUUGUGGGACCCGAUCUUUGGAGGUAAACGUGUUAACAGGUGUGACGCAGGAAGGUAGCCAAGCCACGCGAUGGUUGUCGUGGUCUAAGCGUGUAGGGUUGUCGGUUGUUAAAUGCGCCGGCUGUGUGCCUGAGACGUGAUGGGACCCUGUUUUUGGGGGAUUUGGUGAUCCUAUGCUGCCGAGAAAAGCAUCGGCGUGAGGUUUUAGCCGCCCGUACCCUAAACCGACACAGGUGAUCAGGUAGAGAAUACUAAGGCGAUCGAGAGAAUCAUGGUUAAGGAACUCGGCAAAAUGCCCCCGUAACUUCGGGAGAAGGGGGACCUUGAGCGUGAUGGGCACGUGCUGCCUGGAGCGUGUAUGGGUCGCAGAGACCAGGGGGAAGCGACUGUUUAUCAAAAACACAGGUCCGUGCGAAGUCGUAAGACGAUGUAUACGGACUGACUCCUGCCCGGUGCUGGAAGGUUAAGAGGAUUGGUUAGCUCUUUUGGGCGAAGCUGAGAAUUUAAGCCCCAGUAAACGGCGGUGGUAACUAUAACCAUCCUAAGGUAGCGAAAUUCCUUGUCGGGUAAGUUCCGACCUGCACGAAUGGAGUAACGACUUCCCUACUGUCUCAACCAUGAACUCGGCGAAAUUGCAGUACGAGUAAAGAUGCUCGUUUCGCGCAGCAGGACGGAAAGACCCCGUGACCUUUACUAUAGUUUGGUAUUGGUGUUUGGUUUGGCUUGUGUAGGAUAGGUGGGAGACUGUGAAGCAUGGACGCUAGUUUGUGUGGAGUCGUUGUUGAAAUACCACUCUGGUCAAUCUGGAUGUCUAACUUCGGGCCAUGAUCUGGUUCAGGGACAGUGCCUGAUGGGUAGUUUAACUGGGGCGGUUGCCUCCUAA
rnacentral:rRNA from 1 species